CUCUCUAAGUUAAUCAUCAAACAAUUCUGCAAUAAUCGACACAGGAAGUAGCAUUUGAAUAGCACAUGAAAUGAAUGUCAACUUGCAGCCAGCUGUGAAGACAGAGCAUGAAUUCAAGCAUGGCAACAGCACAGAUGACAUCAUACUGCAUUAAGAAGAUGGUGCCAUUCUCAUGCAAGCACAGAGAGAGAGAGAGAGAGAGGGAGACUUGUUGUAAUUGACCUUUUAUUAUGAGCAAAUCAACACAAAAGACCACACAUACAGUAACAUUUGAAAUCAGACCUCUCGGAAAUGUACAGAAUAAAAACCCUAACAUUGUGUGUCAUUAUUAUCAUUUUAAAUACUGAUAAGGUAUAAAAACAAAUAUAUAUUUUUUUGCUCGUUUAAAUAAAUGGGCCAAACUAUCCUCUUGUUUACAUCAUGCCUUUGUAAAACAUGCAAAAUUAAAGCUGAACUGACUAAACCCUCAAAAAACACUUUCCCGUUUCCCCUUCAGAAUUCAAAACAAAACUAUGAGGGAAAAACAACCAAAACAAAACAAA